AGGAUAAUAGUUAAAUUAACAUUUAAUUUGCACUUAAAAAAUAUUGAAUAAUCAAUUUAUCUUA
rnacentral:tRNA from 1 species